AGCGAACGCUGGCGGCAGGCCUAACACAUGCAAGUCGAACGAACUCUUCGGAGUUAGUGGCGGACGGGUGAGUAACACGUGGGAACGUGCCUUUAGGUUCGGAAUAACUCAGGGAAACUUGUGCUAAUACCGAAUGUGCCCUUCGGGGAAGGAUUAUUCGCCUUAGUAGCGGCCCGCCGUCUGAUUAGCUAGUUGGUGAGGUAAAGGACUCACCAAGGCUACGAUCAGUAGCUGGUCUGAGAGGAUGACCAGCCACAUUGGGACUGAGACACGGCCCAAACUCCUACGGGAGGCAGCAGUGGGGAAUCUUGCGCAAUGGGCGAAAGCCUGACGCAGCCAUGCCGCGUGGAUGAUGAAGGUCUUAGGAUUGUAAAAUCCUUUCACCGGUGAAGAUAAUGACUGUAGCCGGAGAAGAAGCCCCGGCUAACUUCGUGCCAGCAGCCGCGGU
rnacentral:rRNA from 1 species